rnacentral:misc_RNA from 1 species
GAUGAAGAACGUAGCGAAAUGCGAUAAGUAAUGUGAAUUGCAGAAUUCAGUGAAUCAUCGAAUCUUUGAACGCACCUUGCACCCUUUGGCAUUCCGAAGGGUAUGCUCGUUUGAGUGUCAUUGUACUCUCACUCUCCCGAUGCUUUUGGAUCGGGAGUGGUGGACUUGGGUGUUGCUGCUUUGCUGUGGCUCGCCUCAAAUGGAGUAGUGCAACUCUUGGUUGGACAUAGUACGGCGUGAUAAGUGUCUUCGCCGGCGCCUCUGUAAGGAGGGUGGCCGAUCGGGAGCUCUGUGCUUCAAACCGUCUUCGGACAAUCUUUGACAACUUGACCUCAAAUCGAGUAGGACUACCCGCUGAACUUAAGCAUAUCAAUAAGCGGAGGA